rnacentral:rRNA from 1 species
GAUGAACGCUGGCGGCGUGCCUAAAACAUGCAAGUCGAGCGGUAAGGCCUCUUCGGAGGUACACGAGCGGCGGACGGGUGAGUAACACGUGGGAAUCUACCCCAAACUGAGGGAUAAGCACCGGAAACGGUGUCUAAUACCGCAUAUGGUCUUCGGAUCAAAGCUUCGGCGGUUUGGGAAGAGCCCGCGUAAGAUUUGCUAGUUGGUGAGGUAAAGGCUUACCAAGGCGACGAUCUUUAGCUGGUUUGAGAGGAUGAUCAGCCACACUGGAACUGAGACACGGUCCAGACUCCUACGGGAGGCAGCAGUUAGGAAUUUUCCACAAUGGGCGCAAGCCUGAUGGAGCAACGCCGCGUGCAGGAUGAAGGUUUUCGGAUUGUAAACUGCUUUUAUGUGCGAAGAAUAUGACGGUAACACAUGAAUAAGGAUCGGCUAACUCCGUGCCAGCCGCCGCCGUAA